GCGCAUGAGAGAGACGAUGAUCAAGAUGAAUAUUUUCCCUCGCCACCCCUCACACACCCAUACCCAACCUACCCUUCCCACGCGAUAACUCCGGGAAACCGGUGCUAAUACCGAAUAGUUUGCGGCCUCUCAUGAGGCUGUACGGAAAGACGGUUUCGGCUGUCACUGCAGGAUGGGCCCGCGGCGCAUUAGCUAGUUGGUGGGGUAACGGCCCACCAAGGCGACGAUGCGUAGCCGACCUGAGAGGGUGAUCGGCCACACUGGGACUGAGACACGGCCCAGACUCCUACGGGAGGCAGCAGUAGGGAAUCUUCCGCAAUGGACGAAAGUCUGACGGAGCAACGCCGCGUGAGUGAAGAAGGUUUUCGGAUCGUAAAACUCUGUUGUGAGGGAAGAACAAGUACCAAGUAACUACUGGUACCUUGACGGUACCUCACCAGAAAGCCACGGCUAACUACGUGCCAGCAGCCGCGGUAAUACGUAGGUGGCAAGCGUUGUCCGGAAUUAUUGGGCGUAAAGCGCGCGCAGGCGGUCCUUUAAGUCUGAUGUGAAAGCCCACGGCUCAACCGUGGAAGUCAUUGGAAACUGGGGGACUUGAGUGCAGAAGAGGAAAGUGGAAUUCCACGUGUAGCGGUGAAAUGCGUAGAGAUGUGGAAGAACACCAGUGGCGAAGGCGACUUUCUGGUCUGUAACUGACGCUGAGGCGCGAAAGCGUGGGGAGCAAACAGGAAUAAAUUACCUUGGUAGUCCACGCCGUAAACGAUUAAGUGCUAAGUGGUAGGG
rnacentral:rRNA from 1 species